rnacentral:SRP_RNA from 1 species
GCCAGGCGUGGUGGCUCACGCCUAUAAUCCCAGCACUUCAGGAGGCAGAGGUGGGUGGAUCACCUGAGAUCAGGAGUUCGGGACCAGCCUGAUUAACAUGGUGAAACCCCACCUCUA